UCUAGGCCAUACCACCCUGAAGGCGCCUGAUCUCCUCUGGUCUCAGAAGCUAAGCAGGAUCGGGCCUGGCUAAUACUUGGAUGAGAGAAAGAGAGCUGGUGCUGAAGAG
rnacentral:rRNA from 1 species